UAGUCAUAUGCUUGUUUCAAGGACUUAGCCAUGCAUGCCUCAGAAUCACUGCACUGCAGGAAUCUGCGCAUGGCUCAUUACAUCAGACGUAAUCUGCCGCAAUCACUUUGCGGUCCUCCGCAUUACUGGAUAACUUGGCGAAACGCCAAGCUAAUACAUGAGCCACCGGGCGCUCCCUGCUCCGGCGACGGGGCAACCCGCCGCUAUGGGACGCCCCGCGAAUGAGUGACAUUAAAACCAACGCCCGCUCAGGGCAGUACCACACAGACGUGUUGACUCAAUUCAUUCCGUGCGAAAGCCGGCUCGUCCGGCGUCUUUUGACGAACAACUGCCCUAUCAGCCAGUGAUGGCCGUGUAGUGGACUGCCAUGGCGUUGACGGGAGCGGGGGAUUAGGGUUCGAUUCCGGAGAGGGAGCCUGAGAAAUAGCUACCACUUCUACGGAGGGCAGCAGGCGCGCAAAUUGCCCAAUGUCGAGACAGAACGAUGAGGCAGCGAAAAGAAAUAGAGCCGACAGUGCUACGCAUUGUCGUUUUCAAUGGGGGAUACCCAAACCCAUCCAACAUCGAGUAACUAUUGGAGGACAAGUCUGGUGCCAGCACCCGCGGUAAUUCCAGCUCCAAAAGCGUAUAUUA
rnacentral:rRNA from 1 species